UACGUAGGGUGCAAGCGUUGUCCGGAUUUAUUGGGCGUAAAGAGCUCGUAGGCGGCUUGUCACGUCGUCUGUGAAAACUCAGGGCUUAACCCUGAGCUUGCAGGCGAUACGGGCUGGCUUGAGUGCGGUAGGGGAGACUGGAAUUCCUGGUGUAGCGGUGAAAUGCGCAGAUAUCAGGAGGAACACCGGUGGCGAAGGCGGGUCUCUGGGCCGACACUGACGCUCAGGCACGAAAGCGUGGGGAGCAAACAGG
rnacentral:rRNA from 1 species